rnacentral:rRNA from 1 species
GAGGGAAAGGCGAAAAGAACCCCGGCGAGGGGAGUGAAAAAGAACCUGAAACCGUGUACGUACAAGCAGUGGGAGCCUCUUAAUGGGGUGACUGCGUACCUUUUGUAUAAUGGGUCAGCGACUUAUAUUCUGUAGCAAGGUUAACCGAAUAGGGGAGCCGAAGGGAAACCGAGUCUUAACUGGGCGUUAAGUUGCAGGGUAUAGACCCGAAACCCGGUGAUCUAGCCAUGGGCAGGUUGAAGGUUGGGUAACACUAACUGGAGGACCGAACCGACUAAUGUUGAAAAAUUAGCGGAUGACUUGUGGCUGGGGGUGAAAGGCCAAUCAAACCGGGAGAUAGCUGGUUCUCCCCGAAAGCUAUUUAGGUAGCGCCUCGUGAAUUCAUCUCCGGGGGUAGAGCACUGUUUCGGCAAGGGGGUCAUCCCGACUUACCAACCCGAUGCAAACUGCGAAUACCGGAGAAUGUUAUCACGGGAGACACACGGCGGGUGCUAACGUCCGUCGUGAAGAGGGAAACAACCCAGACCGCCAGCUAAGGUCCCAAAGUCAUGGUUAAGUGGGAAACGAUGUGGGAAGGCCCAGACAGCCAGGAUGUUGGCUUAGAAGCAGCCAUCAUUUAAAGAAAGCGUAAUAGCUCACUGGUCGAGUCGGCCUGCGCGGAAGAUGUAACGGGGCUAAACCAUGCACCGAAGCUGCGGCAGCGACACUAUGUGUUGUUGGGUAGGGGAGCGUUCUGUAAGCCUGUGAAGGUGUACUGUGAGGUAUGCUGGAGGUAUCAGAAGUGCGAAUGCUGACAUAAGUAACGAUAAAGCGGGUGAAAAGCCCGCUCGCCGGAAGACCAAGGGUUCCUGUCCAACGUUAAUCGGGGCAGGGUGAGUCGACCCCUAAGGCGAGGCCGAAAGGCGUAGUCGAUGGGAAACAGGUUAAUAUUCCUGUACUUGGUGUUACUGCGAAGGGGGGACGGAGAAGGCUAUGUUGGCCGGGCGACGGUUGUCCCGGUUUAAGCGUGUAGGCUGGUUUUCCAGGCAAAUCCGGAAAAUCAAGGCUGAGGCGUGAUGACGAGGCACUACGGUGCUGAAGCGACAAAUGCCCUGCUUCCAGGAAAAGCCUCUAAGCAUCAGGUAACAUCAAAUCGUACCCCAAACCGACACAGGUGGUCAGGUAGAGAAUACCAAGGCGCUUGAGAGAACUCGGGUGAAGGAACUAGGCAAAAUGGUGCCGUAACUUCGGGAGAAGGCACGCUGAUAUGUAGGUGAAGCGACUUGCUCGUGGAGCUGAAAUCAGUCGAAGAUACCAGCUGGCUGCAACUGUUUAUUAAAAACACAGCACUGUGCAAACACGAAAGUGGACGUAUACGGUGUGACGCCUGCCCGGUGCCGGAAGGUUAAUUGAUGGGGUUAGCGGUAACGCGAAGCUCUUGAUCGAAGCCCCGGUAAACGGCGGCCGUAACUAUAACGGUCCUAAGGUAGCGAAAUUCCUUGUCGGGUAAGUUCCGACCUGCACGAAUGGCGUAAUGAUGGCCAGGCUGUCUCCACCCGAGACUCAGUGAAAUUGAACUCGCUGUGAAGAUGCAGUGUACCCGCGGCAAGACGGAAAGACCCCGUGAACCUUUACUAUAGCUUGACACUGAACAUUGAGCCUUGAUGUGUAGGAUAGGUGGGAGGCUUUGAAGUGUGGACGCCAGUCUGCAUGGAGCCGACCUUGAAAUACCACCCUUUAAUGUUUGAUGUUCUAACGUGGGCCCCUUACCG